UACGAAGGGGGCUAGCGUUGUUCGGAAUCACUGGGCGUAAAGGGCGCGUAGGCGGCUUUAUAAGUCGGGGGUGAAAGCCUGUGGCUCAACCACAGAAUUGCCUUCGAUACUGUAGAGCUUGAGACCGGAAGAGGUAAGUGGAACUGCGAGUGUAGAGGUGAAAUUCGUAGAUAUCGGGAGGAACACCAGUGGCGAAGGCGGCGACCUGGACGGACACUGACGCUGAGACGCGAAAGCGUGGGGAGCAAACAGG
rnacentral:rRNA from 1 species